UACGUAGGUGGCGAGCGUUAUCCGGAAUGAUUGGGCGUAAAGGGUGCGCAGGCGGUCCUGCAAGUCUGGAGUGAAACGUAUGAGCUCAACUCAUGCAUGGCUCUGGAAACUGGAGGACUGGAGAGCAGGAGAGGGCGGUGGAACUCCAUGUGUAGCGGUGGAAUGCGUAGAUAUAUGGAAGAACACCAGUGGCGAAGGCGGCUGUCUGGUCUGCAACUGACGCUGAGGCUCGAAAGCAUGGGUAGCGAACAGG
rnacentral:rRNA from 1 species